rnacentral:rRNA from 1 species
CCUACGGGGAGCAGCAGUGGGGGAUAUUGGACAAUGGGGGGAACACUGAUCCAGCGACGCCGCGUGAGUGAAGAAGUAGUUCGGUAUGUAAAGCUCUGUCAGCAGGGAAGAAAGAAAUGACGGUACCUGGCCAAGAAGCCUCGGCUAAAUACGUGCCAGCAGCCGCGGUAAUACGUAGGGGGCGAGCGUUAUGCGGAAUUACUGGGUGUAAAGGGAGCGUAGAAGGGUAAGUAAGUCUGGAGUGAAAGGCCGGGGCCCAACCCCGGGACUGCUCUUGAAACUAUUGAACUUGAGUGCAGGAGAAGUAAGCGGAAUGCCUGGUGUAGCGGUGAAAUGCGUAGAUAUUAGGAGGAACACCAGUGGCGAAGGCGGCUUACUGGACUGUAACUGACGUUGAGGCUCGAAAGCGUGGGGAGCAAACAGGAUUAGAUACCCUUGUAGUC